GGAUUAGAUACCCUGGUAGUCCACACUGUAAACGCUGUCUACUAGCUGUGUGUGAAUCUGAUUCGUGCGUAGCGCAGCCAACGCGAUAAGUAGACCGCCUGGGGAGUACGGCCGCAAGGUUAAAACUCAAAUGAAUUGACGGGGGCCCGCACAAGCGGUGGAGCAUGUGGUUUAAUUCGAUGCAACGCGAAGAACCUUACCAUCCCUUGACAUCCCAAGAACUUAGCAGAGAUGCUUUGGUGCCUUCGGGAGCUUGGAGACAGGUGCUGCAUGGCUGUCGUCAGCUCGUGUUG
rnacentral:rRNA from 1 species